UUCAUCUGUGCAGUGAAAUAUUCAACAGUCAAAUACAAGAAAAAAAUGCAACACACAGAACCAUAUUUUUAUAUUUCACAACCACAUUUUAUGAAGAUGACAGUGAUGUUUGCCUGUGCAAAACUCACAUCCAUGAUACCAUGGGUGAUGCUGUGGAUGGUUGCUUGGGAGUUGAUCAAUGUCAUGGGUAAAGACAGCCCAGUCUGACCUUCUGUGCUCCACUGCGCAGCUGUUCUGCGGUCUGAUCUUCUCUCUCUGUGCUGCGGGGGCGUCCUGCUCCCGCCAUUGUCCAAUAUAUCUGUCAGGUGCUUCAGAGGGUCCUCUGUUAGAGGAGGAGGCUCAGGUGGAGGCGGCAGGUCUGCAGACAUGCAGAAACCAAAAGUGUGAAUCAUCAUUUAUACAGUGGUGGACGAAGUACAAGUACAAAUAGCCUAAUAAAAUAUUACUCCAGUAAAA